AAAGAAAACAAAAAAACAAAAAAAAAAAAAAAAAAACAAAGAAACAUAGAUAGAUAGAUAGAUAGAUAGAUAGAUAGAUAUCCUAAUGAAAAUGUCUGUUUUCCGAUGGUCUUAGGUGACCACUGUGAAAGGAUUGUUCUACCCCAGGGGGUUUCAACCAACAGGUUGAGAAACACAGAUCUAGAUCAACACUCAACAGCAAGUUGUAGUUCUCAUUAACUUGCUUACUAGUAACCACCAUCAACAAAAGAAGAAACUGAACGAUACCAGCUACUCUAAGGUGUUAUCAUCUGUAGAUUUAGAGAAGCCUUGCUGGGCAGCUGGGACCUGAUGAGGAGGAGCUCAGGGUGCUUCCUGGUGGAGACUAGAUGGUCAACAAGACCCUCAUAAUGAGACGGCCAGAAGUGGAAGGACAGCAUGUGCCCGGGCUUUGGAGUCAGACAGACCUGAUUGACACCACAGCUGUCCAGUCACUAACUACUCACCACCUGCGAGAACUUGAACUAGAAAUUCAGCUAUGGCUCUCUUGCUGAGAGAAUUGCUCAGCAUGAGCUGCAGAGACGAUUCCCCAAGGGUCUCAGCUCCCACCAAAUCCCACUGGAGUGCAUGGAAGAUUUUCAGCUAGAACCUCCUUUUACAGGGGAAGGUGCCACGGAAAGUGGCCUUCAUCCCAUCUGUUAAACCCGAGAAUCAUGGGAAAAAAAAAAAAAAGACCAG